AGACCCGAAACCCGGUGAUCUAGCCAUGGGCAGGUUGAAGGUUGGGUAACACUAACUGGAGGACCGAACCGACUAAUGUUGAAAAAUUAGCGGAUGACUUGUGGCUGGGGGUGAAAGGCCAAUCAAACCGGGAGAUAGCUGGUUCUCCCCGAAAGCUAUUUAGGUAGCGCCUCGUGAAUUCAUCUCCGGGGGUAGAGCACUGUUUCGGCAAGGGGGUCAUCCCGACUUACCAACCCGAUGCAAACUGCGAAUACCGGAGAAUGUUAUCACGGGAGACACACGGCGGGUGCUAACGUCCGUCGUGAAGAGGGAAACAACCCAGACCGCCAGCUAAGGUCCCAAAGUCAUGGUUAAGUGGGAAACGAUGUGGGAAGGCCCAGACAGCCAGGAUGUUGGCUUAGAAGCAGCCAUCAUUUAAAGAAAGCGUAAUAGCUCACUGGUCGA
rnacentral:rRNA from 1 species